GCCCGGGUGGCUCAGUCGGUCGAGCGUCCGACUUCGGCUCAGGUCGCGAUCUCACAGUUUGUGGGUUCGAGCCCCGCGUCGGGCU
rnacentral:tRNA from 1 species